AUGGACUACCACAAGACUUUGGUCCGCAAGGUCGAGAGGCAGACAUGCCAUGGGAUGGUUGAUGAUUUGUGUCACCAUUUAGCAAUAUUUGAUCAAGAGGAUGGCGUUGGUGGCUGUCCUAACUGGACACUGCACCCCAUCUUCAGCGAUGAUGACAAUUGUUAUUACAAUGAUGAGUACAAGGAUGAUGAUGGAGUUGAGGCCUCAGUGAUGGAUGCGAUGAGGAGCAACCAGGAGGCUGAGGAGCUGGCGUUCAACAUGGACGACGAUAUUGACCAGGCUGCCGAAAUGUUCAUCAGAAGGUUCCCCUGA
rnacentral:rRNA from 1 species